rnacentral:rRNA from 1 species
AUUGAACGCUGGCGGCAUGCUUUACACAUGCAAGUCGAACGGUAACAGGCCGCAAGGUGCUGACGAGUGGCGCACGGGUGAGUAAUGCAUCGGAACGUGCCCAGUCGUGGGGGAUAACUACUCGAAAGAGUAGCUAAUACCGCAUACGAUCUAUGGAUGAAAGCGGGGGACCGUAAGGCCUCGCGCGAUUGGAGCGGCCGAUGUCAGAUUAGGUAGUUGGUGGGGUAAAGGCUCACCAAGCCAACGAUCUGUAGCUGGUCUGAGAGGACAACCAGCCACACUGGGACUGAGACACGGCCCAGACUCCUACGGGAGGCAGCAGUGGGGAAUUUUGGACAAUGGGCGCAAGCCCGAUCCAGCAAUGCCGCGUGCAGGAAGAAGGCCUUCGGGUUGUAAACUGCUUUUGUACGGAACGAAACGGCUCUGGUUAAUACCCGGGGCUAAUGACGGUACCGUAAGAAUAAGCACCGGCUAACUACGUG